CUGAGGUUUAGAAUCUAAUUCUGAUUUUUUUUUUCUUCUGAGUGCUAGCUUUGUUUCUCAUAAGCAAGCUAUAUAAUAUCAUGUUAACUUCUCCAGGGUAGAUCUCAUGUGCUCUUACCACAUAAAUAAUAAGAAGAAGAAAGAUUGAGAAAAAACUUCAACAGUCAUAGGAGAAGAAACAGAAAAAGCAAUAGAGUCAAGAGAUGUGAACUACAAGAGCUAAUCUAUAAGUUCAGAGAGGGAUGAACUUAAGGAAAGAUGUUAGCCACACAUCUGAGGCUUCCUAGAGAUGCUUUGAUCAAGCAAACUGCAUGUACAGAAAUAGCGGAUGAAGAGAAACAAAGAAUGAAGCUCAUCUAAAAGAAGCUAAAGCCAACUUGAAAGAGCUCCCAGUGGCAAAAGCUAGAACAAUUUCAGCAACACAUUAUUUUAAUGUAUUGGCUCUCCAUCCCAAAUUAUAAAUAUAUGUUAGUUGACAUUGAUAUUA